rnacentral:rRNA from 1 species
UGGGGAAUAUUGCACAAUGGGCGAAAGCCUGAUGCAGCGACGCCGCGUGCGGGAUGACGGCCUUCGGGUUGUAAACCGCUUUCGGCAGGGAAGAAGCCGCAAGGUGACGGUACCUGCAGAAGAAGCGCCGGCUAACUACGUGCCAGCAGCCGCGGUAAUACGUAGGGCGCAAGCGUUGUCCGGAAUUAUUGGGCGUAAAGAGCUCGUAGGCGGUUCGUCGCGUCUGCUGUGAAAUCCUCAGGCUCAACCUGGGGCGUGCAGUGGGUACGGGCGGACUAGAGUGCGGUAGGGGUGACUGGAAUUCCUGGUGUAGCGGUGGAAUGCGCAGAUAUCAGGAGGAACACCGAUGGCGAAGGCAGGUCACUGGGCCGCAACUGACGCUGAGGAGCGAAAGCAUGGGGAGCGAACAGGAUUAGAUACCCUGGUAGUCCAUGCCGUAAACGUUGGGCACUAGGUGUGGGUCCAUUCCACGGAUUCCGUGCCGCAGCAAAGCGCAUU